UCCCUUUCUUCGCCUCCCAGCCUUUGUGCCUCGCCUGACUCCCUUCAAUAAAGAUCUCCUGCCGGACCUCUCAGUGUGUCCUCAGCUCAGCUCAGGACUUUAUGAGGAGAGUAAAAGCCCUCAUUGAGAUCCACUGAGCAGCCAGCACCAGGAGUGCCAUGGAGCUUGGUCUGCGAACACACCCAGGUGAGUGCAGCCAGGAGACAGGACGGGCCCUGGGUGUGGACACACAGCAUGGUGCCAGCUGCCCCAGCUACCCCAGCCAAGGCCACUGCAGACAGCUAGCCCUGUCCAGGGAAGUCUGGAGAGUCCAUGGCCAGCCCAGCAAGGGAGUGGAGCACUGGCCUGGAGGUAAAAAUCACUCGGUUUGGGGUGGUGUCUUUCACAACACUGCUGAGAUAAUAAAUAACUGGUAGGUGCACUUAAGAGCAUAAAAUCAUCAGGAACCCAAAGCAAGGCAGAGGAGUCAUCCAGAAAUGCGUCAUUACAGUGACUUUGCAGCCCAGAGCCUUGAGCUCCACAGUGUGCAGGAUGCAGGUGUCAGCAUCCACACCGCUGUGGGAGCCGGAGGGCAGGCAGACUGGCACCCACAAUGCUCCACAUCCGGGUCAGAGUCCUGACACACCUUGGUCCAGGUUCUGCCUCCAUAGACCUGCAGCUGAGAAUAGGCUGCGGUCUGCCAGAAUAACAG
rnacentral:lncRNA from 1 species